AACGAACGCUGGCGGCAGGCCUAACACAUGCAAGUCGAACGAAGUCUUCGGACUUAGUGGCGGACGGGUGAGUAACACGUGGGAACGUACCUUUUGGUUCGGAACAACUCAGGGAAACUUGAGCUAAUACCUGAUGAGCCCUAAGGAGGAAAGAUUUAUCGCCGAAAGGGAGGCCCGCGUUAGAUUAGCUAGUUUGUGAGGUAAAGGCUCACCAAGGCUACGAUCUAUAGCUGGUCUGAGAGGACGAUCAGCCACACUGGGACUGAGACACGGCCCAGACUCCUACGGGAGGCAUCAGUGGGGAAUCUUGCGCAAUGGGCAAAAGCCUGACGCAGCCAUGCCGCGUGAAUGAUGAAGGUCUUAGGAUUGUAAAAUUCUUUUACCAGGGACGAUAAUGACGGUACCUGGAGAAAAAGCCCCGGCUAACUUCGUGCCAGCCGCCGCAGUAAAAC
rnacentral:rRNA from 1 species